UCAAUAUGACGUUGGUUUAUGAUGUUGGCUCGAUUUUGGCUUUUGCUACAGCAGCAAAACACACUGUAAAAAAUCCAACUUGCAAAUUGCUAACUCAAAUCAAAAUUGUAAGUUGGGUGGACAUAUUUUGAGCCCAGUGUUGAGUUUACUUUUAAAAAUGAGUUAACUGAAGGUUUAAAACUGGUUUGUUCAAUGAAAGUAAAUACUUAAGUUGAGCAGACUUUACAUUUUGAGUUCUUCACUGGAUCAUCUACUUCCCGUCUUUGCACAUGCUCAGUCUGUCUUCGGGUGCCAUUUUGCACGAGGUGUCCUCUCACCAGCAGCAGCUGCCAUCUCCUGAUUCAGGUUUGGAAUGCAGUGUAAGUUUUGCAAAUUUGUAAACAGUAGCUGAGAAGUUACACUACAGACUACAUCGCUAUCAAGGACCAUCCUGGCAGCAGCCUUGUUUGUUCGCAGACUGCUUCUGCACUUUAAAGACUCUGAUGUCCGAAAACAGUGGCCUGCAUGUUUUUGGGAGUUUAGG